rnacentral:rRNA from 1 species
UACGGAGGGAGCUAGCGUUGUUCGGAAUUACUGGGCGUAAAGCGCACGUAGGCGGCUUUUUAAGUCAGGGGUGAAAUCCCGGGGCUCAACCCCGGAACUGCCCUUGAAACUGGAGAGCUAGAAUCUUGGAGAGGCGAGUGGAAUUCCGAGUGUAGAGGUGAAAUUCGUAGAUAUUCGGAAGAACACCAGUGGCGAAGGCGACUUACUGGACACAUAUUGACGCUGAGGUGCGAAAGCGUGGGGAGCAAACAGG